rnacentral:rRNA from 1 species
AGAGUUUGAUCCUGGCUCAGGACGAACGCUGGCGGCGUGCCUAACACAUGCAAGUCGAGCGAGGAACUUCGGUCCCUAGCGGCGGACGGGUGAGUAACACGUGGGUAACCUGCCUUGUAGAGGGGGAUAGCCUUCCGAAAGGAAGAUUAAUACCGCAUAACAUUGCGAUAUCGCAUGAUAUUGUAAUCAAAGGAGCAAUCUGCUACAAGAUGGACCCGCGGCGCAUUAGCUAGUUGGUGAGGUAACGGCUCACCAAGGCGACGAUGCGUAGCCGGCCUGAGAGGGUGAACGGCCACAUUGGAACUGAGACACGGUCCAGACUCCUACGGGAGGCAGCAGUGGGGAAUAUUGCACAAUGGGCGAAAGCCUGAUGCAGCAACGCCGCGUGAGUGAUGAAGGCCUUCGGGUUGUAAAGCUCUGUCUUCUGGGACGAUAAUGACGGUACCAGAGGAGGAAGCCACGGCUAACUACGUGCCAGCAGCCGCGGUAAUACGUAGGUGGCAAGCGUUGUCCGGAUUUACUGGGCGUAAAGGAUGCGUAGGCGGAUAUUUAAGUGAGAUGUGAAAUUCCCGGGCUUAACUUGGGAGCUGCAUUUCAAACUGGGUAUCUAGAGUGCGGGAGAGGAGAGUGGAAUUCCUAGUGUAGCGGUGAAAUGCGUAGAGAUUAGGAAGAACUCCAGUGGCGAAGGCGACUCUCUGGACCGUAACUGACGCUGAGGCAUGAAAGCGUGGGGAGCAAACAGGAUUAGAUACCCUGGUAGUCCACGCUGUAAACGAUGAAUACUAGGUGUGGGAGUUGUCAUGACUUCCGUGCCGCAGUUAACACAAUAAGUAUUCCGCCUGGGGAGUACGGUCGCAAGAUUAAAACUCAAAUGAAUUGACGG